GAUGAACGCUGGCGGCGUGCCUAAUACAUGCAAGUCGAGCGAACGGACGAGAAGCUUGCUUCUCUGAUGUUAGCGGCGGACGGGUGAGUAACACGUGGAUAACCUACCUAUAAGACUGGGAUAACUUCGGGAAACCGGAGCUAAUACCGGAUAAUAUUUUGAACCGCAUGGUUCAAAAGUGAAAGACGGUCUUGCUGUCACUUAUAGAUGGAUCCGCGCUGCAUUAGCUAGUUGGUAAGGUAACGGCUUACCAAGGCAACGAUGCAUAGCCGACCUGAGAGGGUGAUCGGCCACACUGGAACUGAGACACGGUCCAGACUCCUACGGGAGGCAGCAGUAGGGAAUCUUCCGCAAUGGGCGAAAGCCUGACGGAGCAACGCCGCGUGAGUGAUGAAGGUCCCCGGAUCGUAAAACUCUGUUAUUAGGGAAGAACAUAUGUGUAAGUAACUGUGCACAUCUUGACGGUACCUAAUCAGAAAGCCACGGCUAACUACGUG
rnacentral:rRNA from 1 species